CCUUAUAAAGAGCGACGGAGGGAUCGGCCCUAUGAUGUCCGGCAACCUGCUUUUGCAAGGUGCUAAAUCCGACGGUAAAACCGAGAGAUAAG
rnacentral:ncRNA from 1 species